UCAUUACGAUUAGAUCGUUAUUUUUAUACGAAGAGUGAAUGAUUUUAUAUGAUUUGACAGUUAUUUGCGAUUGUCUUCGAAUUGUUUAAAGUUUUAUCUUCAUGGCCUAUGUCAAAAACUUACGAUGGGUCUUGAGUCACCUUUGAUCGUAAAAAGGACAAAUUGUGGAUGUCCAAAAUUCCAAAAUAAUAAUUUAUAUUUUAUUAAAUAUCUAAAAUUAAUAUUUUUUUCCAUUCUAAAUCUCUCAAUUCAGUCUCCCCGUCCACAGUUAGCAUUUUUAGUACGAAACUUUGCGAAGUGUUUAGUGCUUUGUUUGUAAACAAUGAACUCUAUUAGAAAGAGUAAUAAAUAAUAUAUUCUUUGCAAUGAACUUUUAAAGUCAAAACAAUGAAGUUAAUUGAGUGCCAUUAAUCGAUUUAUAUAGGAUGCUGAGACUUGGACUCUGAGAGAAAGUGAGAAAAAGAAGAUACACACUCUAGAAAUGUGGUGUUGGAGAAGAAUGCUUGCAUAUCCUGGACACAGUUUCGAAACAACAUCUCACUCCUCCAAGAACUGGGGAUCAAACUGCAUCUUUCUUCCAGCAUCCAAUGUCUUACACACACUUUCUUUGGACGUACCACACAAAGAGACACUUAGUCCAUAGAGCGACAUAAACUCGAUUUCUGCGACAUCUUGCAUGUUGUUGUAUCCAAUAUGUUUGGAUCUGUGUUCCAUGGCAUAAGUGUGUGGUUUAGUUAAGUUUGCUGGCAAAGUUAAGCAAAAAGGAAUCAAAUUUCAUUUUUAAAAGUAUGAUUAUGGCGAACGAACUCUUUCGUCAUCGCUCAUAGGAGAUUUGGAAUAUGCCCUAUAACUGCAGACUCCAAUAUUGCAAAUAGCACCUGCAAUACAGUGGAAUAACAUAUUGGUGUGCUGAAGAAAAGAUGGCAAAGGCUUUUAGCUGACAGGACAUUGUACUGAUGACCCUGUUAUCUGGUCAAAUCAUAAAUGUGUGUGUAUUAUCAAAAUAUUUGCAUAGAUUGUGAAAUGCUGAUGAUAUUUGA
rnacentral:lncRNA from 1 species